rnacentral:rRNA from 1 species
GACAGAGGGUGCGAACGUUGUUCGGAAUUACUGGGCGUAAAGCGCAUGUAGGCGGCAACGCAAGUCGGGCGUGAAAUCCCACGGCUCAACCGUGGAAGUGCACUCGAAACUGCGUAGCUAGAGUCCUGGAGAGGAAGGUGGAAUGCUUGGUGUAGAGGUGAAAUUCGUAGAUAUCAAGCGGAACACCGGUGGCGAAGGCGGCAUCCUGGACCAAUUCUGAACGCUGACGACACGAAAGCGUGGGGAGCAAACAGG